UUUCUAUGAUGAAUCAAACUAGCUCACUAUGACUUACACAGUGAAAACAUGUGAACACCUGCGAAAC
ensembl:snoRNA SNORD29 Small nucleolar RNA SNORD29